rnacentral:rRNA from 1 species
UCGAACGGGGGCUUCGGCCCCAGUGGCGAACGGUCGCGUAACACGUAAGCAACCUGCCCUGAAGUGGGGGACAACAUUCCGAAAGGGGUGCUAAUACCGCAUGUGGUCACGAGUCGGCAUCGACUUGUGUCUAAAGAUUUAUCGCUUCAGGAUGGGCUUGCGGCCUAUCAGGUAGUUGGUGGGGUAAUGGCCUACCAAGCCGACGACGGGUAGCUGGUCUGAGAGGACGAUCAGCCGGAUUGGGACUGAGAUACGGCCCAGACUCCUACGGGGGGCAGCAAUUAGGAAUCUUGCGCAAUGGGGGAAACCCUGACGCAGCGACGUCGCGUGAAGGAUGAAGGCCCUCGGGUCGUAAACUUCUUUUGAGUGGGAAGAAAUUUGACGGUACCACUCGAAUAAGCCCCGGCUAACUACGUGCCAGCAGCCGCGGUAAUACGUAGGGGGCGAGCGUUGUCCGAAGUUACUGGGCGUAAAGCGCGCGUAGGCGGUUAUUUAAGUCUGGGGUGAAAGGUUCAGCGCUCAACGUGAACAGUGCCUUGGAUACUGGAUGACUUGAAGUCUGGGAGGGGGAAGGGGAAUUCCUGGUGUAGCGGUGAAAUGCGUAGAUAUCAGGAGGAACACCGGUGGCGAAGGCGCCUUCCUGGCCUAAGACUGACGCUGAGGUGCGAAAGCGUGGGGAGCAAACGGGAUUAGAUACCCCGGUAGUCCACGCCGUAAACGAUGAGUGCUAGGUGUCGGGGGUAUCGACCCCCCCGGUGCCGUCGCUAACGCAUUAAGCACUCCGCCUGGGGAGUACGGCCGCAAGGUUGAAACUCAAAGGAAUUGACGGGACCCCGCACAAGCGGUGGAGCAUGUGGAUUAAUUCGUCACUAACCGAAGAACCUUACCCAGGUUUGACAUCGAGGGUA